GGUGCACGCCACUGCCCUCAGCUAAAAUUUUUAAAAAAUGAAUGACACACCAUGUUUAAGAUCAGCAGACUAGAGAGUAUUAAGAUAACUAUAUUCCCUUAUGUGCUGAACAUUAACUCCUUAUCAGAUACGUGGUUUUGAAUAUUUUUUCCCAUUUCAUAGCUUGUCACAUCACUCUGUUGGUUGUUUGCUUUGUUGAAGCAUUUUGAUUGAUGUCAUGCCUUUGUCUAUUUGUGGUUUUGUUGCCUGUGUUUGGGAUCGUAUAAAAAAAUCAUUGCUCAGACUAAUGCCAUGGAGUCCUCCUCCACUUUUUUCUAGUAGUUUUACAGCUUGAGGUCUUAACAUUUAAGGUUUCUUGUUUUUUUCCUCCCCAUCCCUCUCUGUACUGGAUUGACAUCAGAGGCUCUUUACCACUGAGCUAUGGUUGCUCCUUUCUGGGUUUUUUUUUUUUUUUAAUUUUUUAAUAUUUAUUUUUUAGUUUUCGGCGGACACAACAUCUUUGUUUGUAUGUGGUGCUGAGGAUCGAACCCUGGCCGCACGCAUGGCAGGCAAGCGCUCUACAGCUUGAGCCACAUCCCCAGCCCCUCCUUUCUGGUUUUUGAGAUAAGGUCUCCAUGACUUUCCCACGCCAACCUUGAACUUGUGAUUCUCCUGCUUUCGCCUCACAAGUAGCAGGGAUUACAGGGAUGUGCCAUCACACUUGACAGUUGAUGUAUGUGUAUGGUAAACUGAUAAAUUGAUGUAUGUGUGUGGUAUGAGAAGAUAGCAUAAUUCUGUUUGUGGAUUGUCUAUUUUUACCAAUGCUUAGUGAAGAGAUUGCACUUUGUCCAUUGUGUGUUAUUGCCUACUUGUCAAAUUUGUUGUUUACUGUCCAUGUGUGGAUUUAUUUGGGGGUUUUCUAUUCCAUUUCAUUGGUCUGUUUGUCUGUUCUUUACUGCAGUGCCAUACUGUUGAUUACUAUGGCUUUGUUGUAUGUUUUGGAAUUAGUGUGAUGCCUUUGGCUUUGUUUUUGUUUAGGAUGCCUUUGAGUAUUUAGGAUUUUUAAAAAGACUUCUGUGAAAAAAUGUCAUUGGAAGUUUUGAAAGGCCGCAUUGAUUCAGGAGAUCACUUUGGACAAUAAUUUUAACAUUUAUUAUUCCAAAAAUUUAUAAGGAACUGAAAAAACUCAGUUGAGAGAACAGAAAACCCAAAUAACCUGAAUAAAAAAUGACUAAGGGACUUGAAUAGACAUCUUUUCAAAGAAGACAUAUAAAUAACAGUAGGUCUAUGAAAAGCCCUCAACAUCACUAGUCAUGAGGGUAAGAAAGGAAAAUCACAAUGGGAUAUCACCCAUACCUUUUAUUUUGGGUAUUAUCAAAAUGAUAAAGGAUGAACUUGGGCAGGGUAUUUACAACAUGGAACCCUGAACAGCACUGAUAGGACUGUAAAUUGG
rnacentral:lncRNA from 1 species